UGAUGGGAAAUCUCCAGAACUGCUGUACCACACUGAUGAUUCCCUCGAACCCUUCUAUAUCUGAUGACUGCAGCUGCUCUAC
ensembl:snoRNA